rnacentral:rRNA from 1 species
UACAGAGGGUGCGAACGUUGCUCGGAAUUACUGGGCGUAAAGCGCGUGUAGGCGGGUGAUCAAGUCGGAUGUGAAAUCCCUGGGCUCAACCCAGGAACUGCAUUCGAAACUGGUUGCCUUGAGUGCUGGAGAGGGAAGCGGAAUUCCUGGUGUAGAGGUGAAAUUCGUAGAUAUCAGGAGGAACACCGGUGGCGAAGGCGGCUUCCUGGACAGUUACUGACGCUGAGACGCGAAAGCGUGGGGAGCAAAC